AUUUAGUGGUGCUUUACUCUGUUUGAGCUCUUCCAUCUUUACUAUCUAGAUGGAGGUUUUAUUUUCUUUUUUUCCUUUGGCUGCAGAUGGAUCGUUGAGUUGAUUUGUGACCUCCGUUGUUCUGGCUUGGACUCAGACAUGUGUGCUCGAUGAGAGUUCCUUUCAUACGUGCAAUGUUCAAUAACUCCGAGGAAUGAUCAGUCGGUCCGAUUUGAAGUUGACUUCUAUUAGGCUAAACAGAGUGUAUGGCCGACGAGUUCUCUCUAUUGCCUGCCAGAGUUAGGUUGAUUUGUUGUUGGCCUAUUGUCCAUGUCCUUCUGUUGGUGAACUCUCAGUGCAAAUUUUAUUUGUUACGAAAGUUAGCGGUGUUGAAAAUGGUGGCGCUGCGCUAGAGUUCCGGUAAGGGGUGGAUCUAUUGUGUUGGAUUGGGGAUACUGGAUUAAAU
rnacentral:lncRNA from 1 species